UACGUAGGGGGCAAGCGUUGUCCGGAAUCAUUGGGCGUAAAGCGCGCGUAGGCGGCCCUGUAAGUCCGUUGUGAAAGUCAUAGGCUCAACCUUUGAAAGCCGAUGGAUACUGCAGGGCUAGAGUCCGGAAGAGGCGAGUGGAAUUCCUGGUGUAGCGGUGGAAUGCGCAGAUAUCAGGAGGAACACCAAUAGCGAAGGCAGCUCGCUGGGACGGUACUGACGCUAAGGCGCGAAAGCGUGGGGAGCGAACAGG
rnacentral:rRNA from 1 species